CGAAGCGUGCGAUUGGAUUGCACGUCUAAGCAGUAAGGCUGAGUAUUAGGCAAAUCCGGUACUCGUUAAGGCUGAGCUGUGAUGGGGAGAAGACAUUGUGUCUUCGAGUCGUUGAUUUCACACUGCCGAGAAAAGCCUCUAGAUAGAAAAUAGGUGCCCGUACCGCAAACCGACACAGGUAGUCAAGAUGAGAAUUCUAAGGUGAGCGAGCGAACUCUCGUUAAGGAACUCGGCAAAAUGACCCCGUAACUUCGGGAGAAGGGGUGCUCUUUAGGGUUAACGCCCAGAAGAGCCGCAGUGAAUAGGCCCAAGCGACUGUUUAUCAAAAACACAGGUCUCUGCUAAACCGUAAGGUGAUGUAUAGGGGCUGACGCCUGCCCGGUGCUGGAAGGUUAAGAGGAGUGGUUAGCUUCUGCGAAGCUACGAAUCGAAGCCCCAGUAAACGGCGGCCGUAACUAUAACGGUCCUAAGGUAGCGAAAUUCCUUGUCGGGUAAGUUCCGACCCGCACGAAAGGCGUAACGAUUUGGGCACUGUCUCAACGAGAGACUCGGUGAAAUCAUAGUACC
rnacentral:rRNA from 1 species